AGAGUUUGAUCAUGGCUCAGAACGAACGCUGGCGGCAGGCUUAACACAUGCAAGUCGAACGCUCGUAGCAAUACGGGAGUGGCAGACGGGUGAGUAACGCGUGGGAACAUACCCUCCGGUUCGGAAUAGCUCAGGGAAACUUGGAUUAAUACCGGAUACGGCUGAGAGGCGAAAGAUUUAUCGCCGGAGGAUUGGCCCGCGUUCGAUUAGCUUGUUGGUGAGGUAACGGCUCACCAAGGCGAUGAUCGAUAGCUGGUCUGAGAGGAUGAUCAGCCACAUUGGGACUGAGACACGGCCCAAACUCCUACGGGAGGCAGCAGUGGGGAAUAUUGGACAAUGGGCGCAAGCCUGAUCCAGCCAUGCCGCGUGAGUGAUGACGGCCUUAGGGUUGUAAAGCUCUUUCGCUCGGGACGAUAAUGACGGUACCGAGAUAAGAAGCCCCGGCUAACUUCGUGCCAGCAGCCGCGGUAAUACGAAGGGGGCUAGCGUUGUUCGGAAUUACUGGGCGUAAAGCGCGUGUAGGCGGGUCUUUAAGUCAGGGGUGAAAUGCCAAGGCUCAACCUUGGAACUGCCUUUGAUACUGGAGAUCUUGAGUCCGAGAGAGGUGAGUGGAAUUGCGAGUGUAGAGGUGAAAUUCGUAGAUAUUCGCAAGAACACCAGUGGCGAAGGCGGCUCACUGGCUCGGAACUGACGCUGAGCGCGAAAGCGUGGGGAGCAAACAGGAUUAGAUACCCUAGUAGUCC
rnacentral:rRNA from 1 species